AUGGAGGACCAAAACCUCAUCGUCGCUGUGUGCAGCCGUCCUGUCCUUUACAACACCAGGAUGGUGUCGUACCGGGACAGGAACAAGAAAGAGAGGGCGUGGGUCGACGUGGCCGAGGAUACUGGCUGUCCUGACCAGCCCAGCAGUGAGUCAGAGACAGAGGACACUGCUCCUGCUCCUGCUCCUGCUCCUGCCCCUGUCCCUGCCGCUGGCCCUUCCCGUGUACCUGUCCCUGAGGCUGGCCCUGCCCCAAGACCACAGAGCGGGACGAAGAGGAAGAGAGCCAGGGUACCGGAGGGGAACACAAAUAUCCAGACAGCCAUCCUCCAGGCCCUGCAGAGGCAAAACGCUGUGCCUACCCCUACCCCGCUCUCUGGGAUUGAGCACUUUUUAAUGGGCCUAGUUCCUUCCCUGGAGAGAAUGCCACCUGAAGUACUGGAGUACGUUCAAUUCCAAAUUCGAAAGGUCAUAUUUGACAAUACUAAUUUCACACUUAAUUUGGAACCUGUUUAAGCUUAUUAGCUAGUGGUGGUGACAAUCUCUCCAGGGAAAGAACUAGGCUGAUGUCACUGUUCAUUUGUUAUUGUUCCGUUAUGUUUAUAUUAUAUUGUUUGUAUGUUAUUUUUGUUAUUUAUAUAAUUAUUUUUUAAAUAAAAUAUUUCUCACAACU
rnacentral:lncRNA from 1 species